CCUACGGGUGGCUGCAGUGAGGAAUAUUGCACAAUGGGCGAAAGCCUGAUGCAGCGACGCCGCGUGGGUGAUGAAGGUUUUCGGAUCGUAAAACCCUUUUCUGUGUGACGAGCAAGGACGGUAGCACAGGAAUAAGUGUCGGCUAACUACGUGCCAGCAGCCGCGGUAAUACGUAGGACGCAAGCGUUAUCCGGAAUUACUGGGCGUAAAGAGCGUGUAGGCGGUUGUCCAAGUCACCCGUGAAAGCUCCCGGCUAAACUGGGAGAGGUCGGGUG
rnacentral:rRNA from 1 species